AAACAAAGCAACAUUCCCAUUGUAACGUCUGAGUUAGUUGUAGGAAGUGAAAAUAGCCGUACCUAUUCUGAUAGAUUUGCUAGCCCCCCGGUGCUGAAAUGAAAUACUAUUAUAAAGUGUACAUAGACUUGCUACACAUAAGUAAACAAAAGCUUUAUUAUUAUUUUGAUAUCUAUAAAUAGCAUGAGCAAUAAAGAGUGAUCGGCUCAGUUUCUAUCUAGUAACCAAACCGGUCUUGUUCUUCGAACAUAUCAACUGGCGACGAGGGAAAAACGAAAAGUGAACUAGUAAACUAGAGAAUUUAGUUGAGUUUGUGAUUGGUGAAGUGUUCGUGACACGGUAGAGUCGUGAUUGUUCCAGAUUGGGGAUUUGUGGUCCAGAGCACUGAAUACCGGCGGCGGUGAAAUAACCGUGUUUUUCAAGCUCGUGUACGGUGGUGAUUCGCACAAGCCGGUCGUAAAGCGACGCAAAAGUACACCUAUAAUUACUGUAAGAGGUAGCGGUACGUGAAUUAGAGGAGGCAGAACGCUGACGUGUAGCAGAAUCCGGUCCAGAUCCAUCGUAAUUCCCCGGUGGCGGCUAGAAGAGCGGUUAAGAACAGCGGGAGGCGGACAUCUCGUUUGGGUUUCGCACGAAUAGAAUAACAGAUAUCCAUCGGAUCAACUCUGGUCUCGGCCCACAAGGGGCAGAUUAAGAUUCGAAGUCAACCUGGACGCAGGCGUAUAGUGACGCUCCAGUUACCACAACAAAGCAGUGGGAAUGAUCAGUCGAAUGAGCACCGAAGCGCAAAGAGGAAAUAUGCAGAGAUGGAUGAAAGCGAAGACGAAUUCAGGGGGUUUACUCCUAGCCCAGAGCCACCUCUUCCAGCGUCGAGCGAACUGCAUCCAAAUUCGCUACGACCCUGUCACCAAGCAUCGGAAACAACAGCUCCACAGCAUCAUCCUAUUCUAAGGCGAUCUACACGGAAGAAGAAAAAGAAAGUGUGUGAUGAAUAUGUUUAUUGAACUAGGAUUGAAUUAUACAAAUUAAAACUAAUUAUCGAUUUGAAAUCAAAAGGUUGUAGGAAGGUUAAUUAAAGGGGGAAGAUAUUGUAACGUCUGAGUUAGUUGUAGGAAGUGAAAAUAGCCGUACCUAUUCUGAUAGAUUUGCUAGCCCCCCGGUGCUGAAAUGAAAUACUAUUAUAAAGUGUACAUAGACUUGCUACACAUAAGUAAACAAAAGCUUUAUUAUUAUUUUGAUAUCUAUAAAUAGCAUGAGCAAUAAAGAGUGAUCGGCUCAGUUUCUAUCUAGUAACCAAA